rnacentral:rRNA from 1 species
UUCCUAGAACAUAGUGUUAAUUCAUCGGAUCCCAUUAUAACUCCGCAGUUGAGCACUCAGUCUAGACUAGUACUGGGAUAGGUGACUGCGCGAGAAAUCCUAGUUUCUUACAUG